AUCCCAUGAUGAGGACAGGUGGCCACAUACUCCUGAAGUCAUUCCCAUGCUUCAGGAAUGGACUCGUCCCUCGUCUGCUGGAAAAUGCAAAUCCUUCCACGAAGGGC
rfam:Oryza nivara chromosome 3, whole genome shotgun sequence.